ACUCAAAUGAAUUGACGGGGGCCCGCACAAGCGGUGGAUCAUGUGGUUUAAUUCGAAGCAACGCGAAGAACCUUACCUGGAUUUGACAUCCUCUGACAUCCGUAGAAAUACGGCUUCUGUAGCAAUACAGCAGAGAGACAGGUGCUGCAUGGCUGUCGUCAGCUCGUGUGGUGACAUGUUGGGUUAAGUCCCGCAACGAGCGCAACCCUUGUCCUUAGUUGCCAUCAUUAAGUUGGGCUCUCUAAGGAGACUGCCGUGGUUAACACGGAGGAAGGUGGGGAUGACGUCAAGUCCUCAUGGCCUUUAUAUCCAGGGCGACACACGUGAUACAAUGGAUGGUACAGAGAGACGCGAAAGGGCGACCUCGAGCAAAUCUCAAAAAGCCAUUCUCAGUUCGGAUUGGAGUCUGCAACUCGACUCCAUGAAGGUGGAAUCGCUAGUAAUCGCGGAUCAGCACGCCGCGGUGAAUAUGUUCCCGGGCCUUGUACACACCGCCCGU
rnacentral:rRNA from 1 species